rnacentral:rRNA from 1 species
AUACGUAGGGAGCGAGCGUUGUCCGGAAUUACUGGGUGUAAAGGGAGCGUAGGCGGGGGUGCAAGUCAGAUGUGAAAUACAUGGGCUCAACCCAUGGGCUGCACUUGAAACUGCAUUUCUUGAGUGCAGUAGAGGUAAGCGGAAUUCCUGGUGUAGCGGUGAAAUGCGUAGAUAUCAGGAGGAACACCGGUGGCGAAGGCGGCUUACUGGGCUUUUACUGACGCUGAGGCUCGAAAGCGUGGGGAGCAAACAGGAUUAGAUACCCUGGUAGUCCACGCUGUAAACGAUGAUUACUAGGUGUGGGGGGACUGACCCCUUCCGUGCCGCAGUUAACACAAUAAGUAAUCCACCUGGGGAGUACGGCCGCAAGGUUGAAACUCAAAUGAAUUGACGGGG